rnacentral:lncRNA from 1 species
AAAAUUGUUCUACAACAGAUACCAAGAUUUUGAUGAUAACAAAGGACGAAACCAAAAAUGGCACUCUAACAAAAAGUUUCUAAGUGUGCAGGAAUCUAAACAAAAAGAAAGGAAUAACAAAAAUUGUUCUACAACAGAUACCAAGAUUUUGAUGAUAACAAAGGACGAAACCAAAAAUGGCACUCUAACAAAAAGUUUCUAAGUGUGCAGGAAUCUAAACAAAAAGAAAGGAAUCUG